CCAAACCCGAAGAAAGCCCAACGCGAAGCGCCACGCCACACCACACCACACCUCGCCUCGCCGCAGCCUCGCUCAGGACCAGCCCGCGCUCUCCGCGGAUCCGAGCCGCCGCGCCAGGCGGCAGGGGAGGGAAAAUGGACGACGGCGGGAUCCAGGAGGAGGAGCAGCCGCCGUCGGCGCGGCCGCUCAGGCCGAGGCGAUCGGGGGGCAGCUCGCGGUGGGUGGACGCCAGCGAGGUCGACUCGUCCGAGUCCCCGCACUGGUCGCUCGAGGACGAGCAGGAGCCCUGGGCCCUCUCGGCCGCCGACGAGGCCGAGGUCCUCUGCGCCACGGGAGGGGCCCUGCUCUCGCGGAGGAGCUCCUCCGCGUUUCGCCGGAGGCUGGGGAAGCGGCCCAAGAGGGCCGACUCCCUCGACGUCGAGGCCAUGAACGUGCGCGGCGCGCAUGGCCACAGCGCCCAGGAUAUAUCGUUGAUGGGCACCGUCGCAAUGGCAUUUCAAACCCUCGGAGUUGUUUAUGGUGACAUGGGUACGAGCCCUCUCUAUGUCUUCAGCGAUGUGUUCAGCAAGGUCCCCAUCAAGUCAGAGGUGGAGAUCCUUGGAGCGCUUUCGCUGGUCAUGUACACGAUAGCGUUGAUCCCUUUUGCGAAAUACGUAUUCAUAGUCCUGAAAGCCAAUGACAAUGGCGAAGGGGGCACGUUUGCAUUAUAUUCGUUGAUUUGCAGGUAUGCAAAAGUCAGCCUGUUACCGAAUCAGCAGCGUGUGGAUGAAAAUAUUUCUAGUUUUAGGCUUAAGUUACCUACUCCUGAGCUUGAACGUGCUCUGCUUGUCAAAGACUACCUAGAAAAGAAGCCACUCUACAAAAAUAUUCUCCUCUUCUUGGUUCUGAUGGGGACUUCCAUGGUGAUUGGAGAUGGCAUCCUCACUCCGUCAAUGUCAGUUAUGUCUGCUGUCAGUGGUCUCCAGGGUCAAGUUGCUGGAUUUGAUGCAGAUGCUGUUGUAAUUGUUUCAAUCCUAGUUCUUGUGCUAUUAUUCAGUGUCCAGAGCUUUGGAACUGGCAAAGUUGGAAUCAUGUUCGCUCCUGUUUUGGCUUUGUGGUUUCUUAAUUUGGGCUCCAUUGGAAUAUACAACAUAAUUAAGUAUGACACGUCAGUAGUGAGAGCUCUCAAUCCAAUGUACAUCUAUUAUUUUUUCAAGAUGAACGGCAUAAAGGCAUGGUCAGCUCUUGGUGGUUGUGUCUUGUGCAUCACAGGAGCUGAAGCAAUGUUUGCUGAUCUGGGCCAUUUCACUGUCAAAUCAAUACAGCUAGCAUUCACUGCUGUGGUAUUCCCUUGCCUGCUUAUUGCAUACAUGGGCCAAGCUGCAUAUUUGAUGAAGCAUCCACUUGCCGUAGAAAGGAUAUUUUAUGAUUCUGUACCAGAAGUUCUGUUCUGGCCAGUAUUUGUGAUUGCUACACUUGCUGCUAUGAUUGCCAGCCAAGCUAUGAUAUCUGCAACCUUCUCUUGCAUAAAGCAGGCUAUGGCACUUGGUUGCUUUCCUAGGAUCAAAAUAAUCCAUACCUCCAAGAAAGUCAUGGGUCAGAUUUACAUACCUGUGAUGAAUUGGUUUCUCAUGAUCAUGUGCAUCAUCAUCGUGGCCACUUUCAGGAGUACGAACGAUAUUGCCAAUGCAUAUGGCAUUGCUGAAGUUGGAGUCAUGAUGGUCAGUACUGCACUGGUAACCUUGGUGAUGCUUCUUAUAUGGCAAACCAAUCUGUAUCUUGUUUUGUGCUUCCCUAUAUUUUUUGGUGCAAUGUAGUUCAUUUACUUAACUGCCGUCAUGUCAAAGCUGCUAGAAGGAGGAUGGUUACCACUUGCUUUCUCAUCAUUGUUUCUCUGCAUAAUGUAUACAUGGAACUAUGGAAGCGUGUUGAAAUACCAGAGUGAGAUGCGUGGGAAGAUAUCCCUGGACUUUAUUCUUGACCUGGGAUCAACACUUGGCACAGUAAGAGUUCCAGGCAUUGGACUUGUGUACAAUGAGCUGGUCCAGGGAAUCCCAUCGAUCUUUGGUCAUCUGUUGAUCACACUGCCAGCAAUGCACUCCACAAUCGUUUUUGUUUGCAUCAAAUAUGUUCCUGUCCCAUAUGUGCCGCUUGAAGAAAGGUUCUUGUUCAGAAGGGUUGGCCAGAAGGACUACCACAUGUUCCGUUGUGUUGCACGGUAUGGCUACAAGGAUGUCAGGAAAGAGGACCAUGGCUCAUUUGAGCAUCUCUUGGUUGAAAGCCUAGAGAGAUUUCUGAGGAGGGAGGCCCAGGAACUCGCGCUCGAGGUGAGCACAAUGGAGGCAGAGCGUGAUGAUGUGUCUGAAGUGUCCGAGAUCGUUCCAUCAUCUCCUGCUACUGCUGCUGAGGAUCUGCACACUCCACUGCUUUCUGAUCAGAGACCGGGCGAUGACAGUCGAAUGUUGGGCAUGGAAGGCAGCGUUCCUUUGCUCCCCUCUAGCUCCAUGUCCGCAGAAGAAGACCCCAGCUUAGAGUACGAGCUCGCGGCACUGAGGGAAGCCAUGGCAUCUGGGUUCACAUAUCUCUUAGCACAUGGCGAUGUGAGGGCGAGGAAGCAAUCAUUCUUCACGAAGAAGUUCAUCAUCAACUAUUUCUACGCUUUCCUGAGGAGGAACUGCAGGGGUGGCACCGCAACCUUGAAGAUGCCUCACUCGAACAUCAUGCGUGUGGGGAUGACAUACAUGGUCUGAUCGGUGCUCUGCUGCGCCUGUGCUGCAAAAUUGAACCUUGUUCUUGCGCCUCGUCUUUGGUGGAAUGCUACACCACCAGGUAGUUUAGGGAUUUGUACCGCCGCAGUGAACAAAGUCACUGCAGCUUCCGGCCAACUGCCCAAAAUUUUAGUUGCAGAAUUGGCCUUGUGUGUACCCUGUUGUGUUCUUCCCAACCUUUCCGGUUAACUUUAUUCUAAGUUAUCUGUGUGCGAUUUGCAUUGAUAAGAUUA